rnacentral:rRNA from 1 species
UAGACCGCCUGGGGAGUACGGCCGCAAGGUUAAAACUCAAAUGAAUUGACGGGGGCCCGCACAAGCGGUGGAGCAUGUGGUUUAAUUCGAUGCAACGCGAAGAACCUUACCUGGUCUUGACAUCCACGGAAGUUUUCAGAGAUGAGAAUGUGCCUUCGGGAACCGUGAGACAGGUGCUGCAUGGCUGUCGUCAGCUCGUGUUGUGAAAUGUUGGGUUAAGUCCCGCAACGAGCGCAACCCUUAUCCUUUGUUGCCAGCGGUCCGGCCGGGAACUCAAAGGAGACUGCCAGUGAUAAACUGGAGGAAGGUGGGGAUGACGUCAAGUCAUCAUGGCCCUUACGACCAGGGCUACACACGUGCUACAAUGGCGCAUACAAAGAGAAGCGACCUCGCGAGAGCAAGCGGACCUCAUAAAGUGCGUCGUAGUCCGGAUUGGAGUCUGCAACUCGACUCCAUGAAGUCGGAAUCGCUAGUAAUCGUGGAUCAGAAUGCCACGGUGAAUACGUUCCCGGGCCUUGUACACACCGCCCGUCACACCAUGGGAGUGGGUUGCAAAAGAAGUAGGUAGCUUAACCUUCGGGAGGGCGCUUACCACUUUGUGAUUCAUGACUGGGGUGAAGUCGUAACAAGGUAACCGUAGGGGAACCUGCGGUUGGAUCACCUCCUUACCUGAAAGAA